UACGUAGGUGGCAAGCGUCGUCCGGAUUUACUGGGCGUAAAGAGCGCGCAGGCGGUCGUUCAAGUCGCGUGUGAAAGCCCCCGGCUCAACUGGGGAGGGUCACGCGAUACUGAUCGACUCGAAGGCAGGAGAGGGAAGCGGAAUUCCGGGUGUAGCGGUGAAAUGCGUAGAUAUCCGGAGGAACACCGGUGGCGAAGGCGGCUUCCUGGACCGACACUGACGCUGAGGCGCGAAAGCGUGGGGAGCAAACGGG
rnacentral:rRNA from 1 species